AUGCAGGCAGCGGGCAUAACCCCCGCCUCCCUGCCCAGGCUGCCUCCCCCUCCCCUAAAUACAAUCACACUGUACCCCAAACUCGGAGGGUCGCCCCACAGCCCUGCUGCAAAAACCUGGGGACAGCCCCUCCCCCAGUGCCUGCCUUUCCCCUCGUCGGAGCCAGCCGGGAACUCGCUUCGGGUGGAGGAAGGGAGGCGGGCGGAGGGCGCUCGGGUGGGGAGCCUCGAGCCCGGACCGGGAGUCCUCGAGCCCCCAGCUCCUCCCAGACCUCCGUGUGCCAGCCCCAGCGGCCUCAAGGCUCCCCCAACACCAGCGACACCACCCGUCCCCGGCUCCGCGCCCCCACAGAAGAACUCUCGGGAGCCGUGCAGUCUCCCAGCCGCCCCGCCACCGAGCGCCGGCGCCGCCACCUCGCCCAGCUCCAGGCGCCGUCUCACCUGCCGCCCGGGGUCCGCGCCUCCCCCGGGCCCCCGCCGCGCCGCCCCCGCGGGCUCCGGCCGGCCGGCCGGCCGUCCCGCGGUCCUGCUCGGUGCCCGCGCGUCCCGGCCGUCCCUCCCGCCGUCCGCAGCCCGCCCGGCCCUCGCCCCCUCCCUGCUGUCCAGCGCAGCCGCCCUCUACCCCGGAUCCAGAAGUCCCCUCCCCGCCGGCUCCCGGACUCCCCGCCUUAAAGGCACAAGCUCCCUUUGUCUGGGCACCCCCUCCCCUCCCCAGACGCCCGGCCGAGUGGCCCGCUCUCCUUCCGAGGAACAGGGUAGGGGUGAGGGAGACCAAAGAAUGGGCCCACUCCCUCCGCGCGCCCCCUCCUCUCCUCCAGCCGCUCCCUCCCCCAGUCUUGGGAAAACAAGCGGCUACUGUUCUGGGAUCAAGACCCGGGGUGGGGGGAGGGGGGGCCGCCGUCCAGCUCCCCCUUCCCUCCACCCCCAUGAUGCAUCCUCAAGCAUUCUCCUCCCACCCUCACCCGAGGGGUCUCCAAGCGCGCCGGCCAACCCACCCUCUCGCCGCGAUUACCGCCCCGCCUCGCACGCGGAGGGUCGGGGUCCCCUGGCGCUGAACCCGUGCCCGGCGCCCACUCCUCAGCCCUCCCUUUCUCCCUCCCCCGAGCCCCCACCCUGCCAUUCCCGCCCUGCCUGCCACGGCCCUGCUCCCUCCCUCGGGAACUCAGUUUAA
rnacentral:lncRNA from 1 species